CAGCCGCCGCGGUAAUACGGAGGGGGCUAGCGUUAUUCGGAGUUACUGGGCGUAAAGCGCACGUAGGCGGAUCAGAAAGUCAGAGGUGAAAUCCCAGGGCUCAACCUUGGAACUGCCUUUGAAACUCCUGAUCUUGAGGUCGAGAGAGGUGAGUGGAAUUCCGAGUGUAGAGGUGAAAUUCGUAGAUAUUCGGAGGAACACCAGUGGCGAAGGCGGCUCACUGGCUCGAUACUGACGCUGAGGUGCGAAAGCGUGGGGAGCAAACAGGAUUAGAUACCCCGGUAGUCCCUGUCUCUUAUAC
rnacentral:rRNA from 1 species